UACGUAGGCAGCAACCGUUGUUCGGAAUUACUGGGCGUAAAGAGUGUGUAGGCGGCUUUGUAAGUUCUGUGUGAAAUCUCCCGGCUCAACUGGGAGGGUGCGCCGAAUACUGCAAGGCUUGAGUACUGGAGAGGAUAGCGGAAUUCCUGGUGUAGCGGUGAAAUGCGUAGAUAUCGAGAGGAACACCUGCGGCGAAGGCGGGUAGCUGGGCCGACACUGACGCUGAGGCGCGAAAGCCAGGGGAGCGAACGGG
rnacentral:rRNA from 1 species